rnacentral:rRNA from 1 species
GACGAACGCUGGCGGCGCGCCUAACACAUGCAAGUCGAACGGAGUCAAGAGGAGCUUGCUUUUCUUGACUUAGUGGCGAACGGGUGAGUAACGCGUGAGUAACCUGCCCUGGAGUGGGGGACAACAGUUGGAAACGACUGCUAAUACCGCAUAAGCCCACGGAUCCGCAUGGAUCUGCGGGAAAAAGAUUUAUUCGCUUCAGGAUGGACUCGCGUCCAAUUAGCUAGUUGGUGAGGUAACGGCCCACCAAGGCGACGAUUGGUAGCCGGACUGAGAGGUUGAACGGCCACAUUGGGACUGAGACACGGCCCAGACUCCUACGGGAGGCAGCAGUGGGGGAUAUUGCACAAUGGGGGAAACCCUGAUGCAGCGACGCCGCGUGGAGGAAGAAGGUUUUCGGAUUGUAAACUCCUGUCGUUAGGGACGAUAAUGACGGUACCUAACAAGAAAGCACCGGCUAACUACGUG